UUGCUGUAGUAUUUUGACUAUACAAAGGUAUUGUAAUAAGACUUUAAUUGAGUGCUAAGAGAAUGGAAUUACAAGAAAUUUCUUUAUUAAAUUUAAAAAUUGAAGUUAUUUUUUUUGUGAAGAAUCAAAAAUAUUUAUUAAGGACAAGAAGACCCUAAGAAUUUUAAAGUAUAUAAAUUAAAAUUUUAACUUAUAUACUUUUGAUUGGGGCGAUUAAUUAAUAUUAAAAACUUAAUUUUUAAAAAAUAUGAACCAUUAAUAAUGGUAUUAUGAAAAAAAUACUCUAGGGAUAACAGCGUAAUAAUUUUUGAUAGUUCUUAUAGACAAAAUAGUUUGCGACCUCGAUGUUGGAUUAGGAUUAUUUUUUAAUGAAGAAGUUAAAAAAAUAAGUUUGUUCAACUUUUAAAUUCC
rnacentral:rRNA from 1 species